UGGGGAAUAUUGCACAAUGGGGGAAACCCUGAUGCAGCGACGCCGCGUGAGCGAUGAAGGCUUUCGAGUCGUAAAGCUCUGUCCUAUGGGAAGAUAAUGACGGUACCAUAGAAGAAAGCCCCGGCUAAUUACGUGCCAGCAGCCGCGGUAAUACGUAUGGGGCGAGCGUUGUCCGGAAUUAUUGGGCGUAAAGGGUACGUAGGCGGUCUAUUAAGUCAGGUGUGAAAGCGUGAGGCUUAACCUCAUUAAGCACUUGAAACUGAUAGACUUGAGUGAAGGAGAGGAAAGUGGAAUUCCUAGUGUAGCGGUGAAAUGCGUAGAUAUUAGGAGGAAUACCGGUGGCGAAGGCGACUUUCUGGACUUUUACUGACGCUCAGGUACGAAAGCGUGGGGAGCAAACAGG
rnacentral:rRNA from 1 species